rnacentral:rRNA from 1 species
UUAACGAACGAGACCCCCGCCUGCUAAAUAGCUGUGGGAAUGCGCUUGCAUUGCCUCAACUUCUUAGAGGGACUUUCGGUGACUAACCGAAGGAAGCUGGGGGCAAUAACAGGUCUGUGAUGCCCUUAGAUGUCCUGGGCCGCACGCGCGCUACACUGGCACACGCAACGAGUCUAUCACCUUGGUCGGCAGGCCUGGGUAAUCUGUGAACGUGUGCCGUGAUUGGGAUUGAUUGUUGCAAUUUUCAAUCAUGAACGAGGAAUUCCUAGUAAACGCGAGUCAUCAGCUCGCAUUGAUUACGUCCCUGCCCUUUGUACACACCGCCCGUCGCACCUACCGAUUGAAUGGUUCGGUGAAACCUCCGGACUGGGGUUCGCAAGCUUCACGGCGAACGUACCUCGGGAAGUUGGUUAAACCUCACUAUUUAGAGGAAGGUGAAGU